GGGCGGUGUUGGAAAUCUGAAUGUCACCCGCGGUCCGGAGCAGAUAGGAUGGGCUGGGAAGGUACCCGCGAACUGCCGCCGGAAUUCGCUGGCAGCUGUGCGAGGCUCAGAUUAUUUAAAUUUUCCACAAAUUUCUACGGAUUAAUUCAAUGGCAGCUCACUUUCUCCUUUUAUGAUCGGAUGGGUCCGAAAGUGAGGAAAAAGACAAUUGUCUACAAAGAAAGAGGCUGCCAAGUGGAGACAGAAAAGCAGUUAUGAGACUGAUGAUAGAUUCCAAUUUGUUAUCGAAAGGAAGGAGGAGACCUGAACAGUACAUCCGGAGAAUCCAGCAAAGCAUACUACGGCAUGAACGUGCAAGUGGACAGAAUUAAAACACAUGCCAGAAACACUAAUGGAUUCUAAACAAGAUGCAGUUUCAUUUCCUGAGCCUAUACGUGAUGUUUUUAACUGUUCUCCAGUUAAUAUGUCUCCAUUUCCAGAAAUCUAACAGGAGAAUCUCUGACUGCUUAACAGAUCACCUAAGCUUGCGAUUUGUGCAAUCCUUUCUAGAGUAAGGGCUCCCCGGCUGCUCCCCGGCCACUGUGUACCCAAAGCAGCGGCUGAAAUAGCCCGGAGUCCAACAGCUCAGCGUCAAGCAGCUCGUGGCAAACGCAGCCGCCGGUCUUGACUGCCAUCGCCCAAGGGGUUCCUCUGGGCUCUCCCGCGAGCCAACAGCCGACCUCUCUCCAGCCUAGUCUGGGAAACUCCAGCCAACCCAGGAUCCCAUUUUGUAGUCCCGGGCAGACCCGAAACCCCUGAAAGAACUCCACUCCAGAAGACGCCAGAACAAGUUCCCACGAAUUUCAUGGGCGCCCUUCACAUGAAAACCUCAGCUCCCCUAUCCUCAAGGAACGGGGAAGGGCGCCGGGGAGGGACUUCGGUGGCCAGCUGUCCCUGGGUCGUGGGCGCUGUUUGCUCUGCGGAGCGCCAGCCCUGCACACAGCGGGUGCGGGAAGCGUUGAUGGGAGGCUGGAGGGCGGGGUGAGCGUAAACUAGGAUCUAGCCGGUUCCAGGCGUGGAGAAUCAAAUGUGGUCCUAGAUCUGUAAGUUGCGAAAAGGGGCUUUUGGGAGCGUCAGAGCUUUCUCACUCCGGUCCCCCGCCGCCUUGAGGCUGGCAGAUUUAUACCCCACAGGUGGAUGGAGACCUAAACAAAACAGUCCCGGCCGCUGCCUGCCGCUCGCCCCCCACGUCCCCCGGGCCCACCGCAAACUUCAACAAAAUAAACAACUCACCACAGGCAUUCCCUUGUCUGCAGCGCGACGCUUGCCAGCUGGGAAAAUAAGCCGCAAGCCACGCGGCCGAGGCGCGGAGGGAAGGCAGCGCGGCGCCCGCC
rnacentral:lncRNA from 1 species